rnacentral:lncRNA from 1 species
AUUUUGAUUUACAGAAGUUUCUGAAAUCUUUUUCGUGGCCUUUCCAGACACUGUUCAGACUUAAAUCUUGUCCACUUAGUGAUUACUGGCUGUUUUUGUUCAGUGGUUUGACAGAUUCUCAAUAUGAUUUGGAGCUGCCUGGUUAGUGUCCAGCAUUCAGUUCUUAUUUGGCAUGUAAUAAUAUCUUAUUUUCUUUACAAGGUAGUUAAAUAGAUAGGUUCUUCCUGUAUUUGUGCAGUUGUUGAUGGGUGAUCCUCUUCACUCUAACAGGGUGACUUAUUUUCUACUGAUGAGACUUUGUAUACUAAGAUGACAUCUAGAUGAAUUCUCUUACAGUCUCUUAUCUAGGCCAAACCCUGCUGUGAAUGUACUGAAUGCCUUUCAGAUGAGGCUGACCUCUUCCACCACAGGAUCAAAUUGGCCUGACAGGUAGAGGAUUUGGGGGGUGGGGGGGGCAAAAAGCCUCACCCGAGAGCUGUAGAAAGCAGAGUCCAACUCAACACAUUUCAGGCAGCGAAGACCAUGGCUGCAAGACAAGUAACAAGAACGAAGGCAAUGUAACCAGAACCUCUAUCAAGCACUCAGUUCAAUCCUCAAAGGUAAGUUAUGCAGCACUACAAAAUAAGAGACCUUUAUUACUCCUUUCUGUCAGUAAUCUGAUGCCUGACCAGAUCAUAAAAUCAGUGAAAAGCUCAAGUUACACUGAAGUACUCCCAAGUGCAUGUGACAAUAGGCAGGUGGCUGUAGCUCACUGA